CUCACUGUAGACGGUGGUGGUGUCCCCCUUCUCACAGCUGUUGUGGCAGCGUCCGUUAGCAUUGCAGACCCGCCGGCACACCAUCGGGGUGAAGACGAUCUUGAUACGGUCCAGAUUGGAGGACACGGAAGUCGUCGGUCUUACACGAUUGAAAACAACAAUCAAGUGAAUUGAAGAAUGGAAACAAACGGACGAUGCCCUGAUACAUAAUGACACCAGCAUUCCUGUGCUAACAUCACCUGUCAAUGGGCUCCCACUCUGGAUGACAGCUGUUCACAUCAGAACUGGCUGCACCUCCUCGUGCUCUAUCAUCAAUGACAGUGGAAAACAAGCCCAGACGUCGUUUAUCUGCACUACACACAAAUCGCCGUAGCCUGCCCUGUCAUGACGGCCUUUUUCCAUUCCUCUCUCCAUGACACCUAGCUUUUCUUGUCUUCUUGCGCUAUGCCAGAUGGUAUAUUUACUAUCAAAAUAUCCCUGUAGUAUGAAGUAACCUGUGUCAUCUCUAUAUUUGGACAGGGGAGUAAUAUUCUAGUGGUUUGAUGUCAUUGCUGCUUCAAGGCUACAGGAAUUACGAGGAGGACUCCUCAGCUGUCAAAAUGUAGCCGAGUGAAAAAUACAAUCCAAACAUCUCCUUUUUUAGCUGAGCUUAUUCCUAGUACGCUUAAGACAUCAGAAAGUACAUUUUCGGAAUCAAAACUGCAACAUAUUAUUCUAAUUAAAGUCAAUUUAUGAUUACAGCAGUGAGACACAUUUAGACCAAACAGAAAACAUAAAGCAAUGUGAAAUGAAUGAAUUAGCAGAAACACAUUCAGCCAUUCCUGAACUGCUCUCUCUCGCUCUCUCUCUCUCUCUCUUUCUCUCUCUCUCAGGCUAAUCUGUUAGUCUUCACCUUUUUCUUUAAAGUGAAAUCUUGUGGUAUGGGAUUCUCUCGUUCCUAAAUAACCCCCCCCCACCAGCAAUGUAUUCUUGAGGUGUCCAAGUCAGGAUGGGCUGUGUUUGUCCUUAAAGACCAUUGAAGCAGCCUACACUAACCACAUUAAAGGAUUCUCCAGCCCCUCAACACAGGAGGACAACAUGAGAGCCACAUGAGAUCCUGCUCAUGGUCCCUCACAGCAGCAACUGUAAAAUGCAAGGGUGACGAGUCUCUCUCUCAGGAACUGAGACGGGAAAUCCAACAAAAGCUCACAAGUUGAAGUCCAGGCUCCAGUUCUUGUCCAGACUGGAGAAAGGUGUGUGAGACCUGGACAGAGGGUAGUCAAGAAGCCAGAAGCAUUCCUCGCAUACCCUUCGCCGGUCUGCCUCGUUCACACAUGAACCCACCGCAGCAGGACCUACACGCGGACGACUCCCUAGUCUGGGUGCAGAACAUACAGAUGUCUCGCUAAAGAGGUGAACACGCAAGAUGAACCAAGGGUCUACUCCCACCCUAAAAUCCGGCAAAUAAAAAAAUAUGUUUUUUUUUUAAUACCAUGUUAGGAAAAAUUUGUUACUAGCAAACAUAAAGAAAAGCCAGGAUUGGAGAUUAAAAAAAGCUCGCCUUGUACCCAA